UUUUGAUAAACUCCCCUCCAAAUCUCAACAUCUUCACUUUAGUGUCUUUUAUAGUUUUUGUAAUUUUUAUUUAUGGUAUAUUCCCUCGAUUGGCCUAUUUAUGGCCUAUUCUCUCAUUUUAGUGCCUUGCAGUUGCUACCGGAAAGACUAAAGCCAACUUCAUAAACUUAUAAACCAUAUCGAAUAUAUUGCACUUAUCUAUUUCCACAAAUUUUGCACAAAUAUCCAAUAGUCCUUCCCAUGAAUU
rnacentral:lncRNA from 1 species